GAUGAACGCUGGCGGCGUGCUUAACACAUGCCAGUCGAACGAUGAAGCCCAGCUUGCUGGGUGGAUUAGUGGCGAACGGGUGAGUAACACGUGAGUAACCUGCCCUUAACUCUGGGAUAAGCCUGGGAAACUGGGUCUAAUACCGGAUAGGAGCGCCUACCGCAUGGUGGGUGUUGGAAAGAUUUAUCGGUUUUGGAUGGACUCGCGGCCUAUCAGCUUGUUGGUGAGGUAAUGGCUCACCAAGGCGACGACGGGUAGCCGGCCUGGGAGGGUGACCGGCCACACUGGGACUGAGACACGGCCCAGACUCCUACGGGAGGCAGCAGUGGGGAAUAUUGCACAAUGGGCGAAAGCCUGAUGCAGCGACGCCGCGUGAGGGAUGACGGCCUUCGGGUUGUAAACCUCUUUCAGUAGGGAAGAAGCGAAAGUGACGGUACCUGCAGAAGAAGCACCGGCUAACUACGUG
rnacentral:rRNA from 1 species